AGAGUUUGAUCAUGGCUCAGGAUGAACGCUAGCGGCAGGCCUAGUACAUGCAAGUCGAGGGGUAAAUAUGUAGCAAUAUAUAUGAGACCGGCGCACGGGUGCGUAACACGUAUGCAACCUACCUUUUACUGGGGCAUAGCUCAGAGAAAUCUGAAUUAAUUCCCCAUAACACUGCACUUCGGCAUCGGAGAGCAGUUAAAGCUCCGGCGGUAAAAGAUGGGCAUGCGGAACAUUAGCUAGUUGGUGAGGUAAUGGCUCACCAAGGCUACGAUGUUUAGGGGGUCUGAGAGGAUGAUCCCCCACACUGGUACUGAGACACGGCCCAGACUCCUACGGGAGGCAGCAGUAGGGAAUAUUGGUCAAUGGACGCAAGUCUGAACCAGCCAUGCCGCGUGCUGCAUGAAUGUCCUAUGGAUUGUAAACUGAUUCUUCUUUGCAAUAAACUCCUGGUUGCCACUACUCCUGACCGUU
rnacentral:rRNA from 1 species